ACCUACAUCUGCAACGUCGCCCACUCGGCCAGCAACACCAAGGUGGACAAGAAGAUCGUGCCACCCAAAGUGGGAGGAAAAUGCAAGUGCACAGCCCAAGGACACCCUCACGACCUCCCGAACCCCCGAGGUGACGUGCCUAGUGGUAGAUGUUGGCCAGGAAGACCUGAACGUCCAGUUCACCUGGUACGUGGAUGGUAAACAGAUGAACACGGCCAAGACCAACGAGCCGAAGGGGCAGUACAACAGCACGUACCACGUGGUCAGUGCACUCCCCAUCUCGCACCAAGACUGGCUCGAGGGCAAAGAGUUCAAGUGCAAGGUCAACAAUACUGCCCUCCCAUCACCUGUUGAGAAGGUCAUCUCCAAGGCCAAAGGCCAACCCCAUGAGCCACAGGUGUAUGCCUUACCCCCACACCGAGAUGAGCUGACCAAGGACAAGGUCAGCCUCACAUGCCUGGUGAAGGGAUUCUACCCCUCUGACAUUGAUGUUACAUGGCAAAAGAACCAGCAGCCACAGCCUGAGAACAGCUAUGCGAACACUGAAGCCCAGCUCGAGGCUGAUGGAACCUUCUUCCUGUACAGCAAGCUCACACUGCCCAAGAAGAGCUGGCAGCAAGGAAACACCUAUUACUGUGUGGUUCUGCAUGAGGCGCUGCCCAACCACCACACCCAGAAGGCCGUCUCCCUGUCUCCCGAGCUGCACCCAGAUGAGAGCUGUGCGGAGGCUCAGGAUGGGGAGCUGGACGGGCUGUGGACCACCAUCUCCAUCUUCAUCACGCUCUUCCUGCUCAGCGUGUGCUACAGUGCCACCGUCACCCUCAUCAAGGUGAAGUGGAUCUUCUCCUCAGUGGUGGAGAUGAAGCGAAACAUCGUCCCCGACUACAGGAAUAUGAUCGGGCAGGCUGCCUAGGGGCUGCUGAGAGAGGAAAACGCAUAAGCCGAACUGAACAACAAGCUUCAGGUGGCUCCACCCUCCACCCAAGUCCCAACCUGCCCUCUGACCCCACCGUUUCAGACACCUCACUGCCCUCUGACCAUGCUAUCUCAUAUCUCUCCUGUCAGAGAAACUGGUGGACAGCAGGUUCUCCCACAGACCCAGCAGCCUGGAUGCCCUGCUACCCCAUACCUAAAUAGCAUUUACAGCAGCACCAGGAGCGCCGGUGGGGUCAUUGCACUGGGAGACCCUCAGAAUCAGCUGUGAAUGUCCAUUCUGGAGGAGGGGAUGGGCCAGUAUUCCCCAUGUCCAUUUGGAGCAGGGACCUGAGUUCAAACCCCACCCCAGGCCUGGCUCAGAAAGACACCAAAUCUCAAAGAUCCUUGGUGGGGACAUCAUGCACCAAGGCAGGGGAGCCACUGAUCAUCAACCUCAAAAGGGAUACUCCUUGAGAAGUGCUGCAACCUUCACUGAAUGGCCCUUCCUCCAGCCCUCGCCUGGCCAGUUCCACCCUGGGAGACCGCAGGGAUUCCCCCACCACGUCUAUGGCCCUGGCCUGAGGAAGAGGCUCCUUUUCAUUUUGAACUGGAAACUUGGUCUCUGGUCUUGGGAAAGGGCUUUCCAUCCAAUCCUGACCUCCUACACAGAGCUCUUAGAUAUGGGGCUCAACCCAAGGGACAGAACCUCUGCCUGCAUGGUGGCCAAGUGAGGGGCUUGGCCCAGGAUACCCACCAUCUCCCAGCCACCAACCCAGUUCCAGCUAAAGGCCCAACCUCGCCACCACACAAGAGACCACCUGAGAAGGCCUGGGCCAUACCCGUGGACACUGCAGGGUCUAGAGGGUGCAAUGGCAGGGCUCCUGGGGUGAGGAUGGGCAUCUGUGCCAAACAGGAAGGGCAUCAGGUCUGAGGGGCAAGUAGCCAGACAGCCUCCUAGAAAGAGGCCUGGUGACCAGUGCUCCAAGUGGUCAGGGCAUGCCAUGGGAGGCCUCCUCCUUGGGCCUCUGGACAGAGGUGGCCGAAGACAAAGAGAAUGGAAGAGAGGAAAAUGACCAGAUACUGGGAGUGGGCAUCUGGCCAACAAGACUCUGAUGGGAAACCGGGCCAGCCCAGCCACAGGCACUGCACAGAGGUCCCGGGGCCAAGCAUUGCCACCCCUCUGGGCUCUCUGUCUCCCAUCUUCCCUUCCAGCAAAUACUCAGCAGAGUCACACCACAAAGGAACCAGAGUGCUGAGCCCGCUUCUUAAGGUGGGAAGAAGAAUGACACAAAUGGAAGCAAACCACACCAAAGAAAGCCACAUCCAUCAGCUCUGUAGCUUCUUACCUCUUUUUAAUUUUCUGAAUUUCCUUUCAUGUAAAUGUGUUGUUCUUGUUUUUUAAUUACAUUACAAUGGACUUAAACUGCAUGAUUUAUCAUGGUUGUAGUCUUUCUAUGGUGACACCCUUUGAGCCCUUCAAGUGCCAGCCCCAGGAAUGAGUUGAGCCAAGCCAUGAGCCCAGAGCACCCGGAACUCAGCACCCAACACUGGCCAGGGUCCCUUUGGUGUCCCCAGCAUCGGUGUCCUUUGUUCUCCAGGAGACUUUCAGCUUGCAGCUGGGGGGGCAUCAGAUUUGCCUGCCCAUUUGCCCUGUGGUGUAGGCAGGACAAAGGAGUCUGAGGACAGCCUCCACCCUCACUGGAGUGACAGUGGCUGGCACUGUAUAGAACAAGGCCCCCAGCUGAUCAUCGUGGGCCCAGGAGUUUGAGAACAGCAAGUCAGGAGUAAUGAUCUCAGCACCUGAAAUGGAUGGAUCCAGUAGGUUCCAGGAGGUUCAAGGAGGCUGUUGAGGGAAACAGCUGAGGCUUGGGGAGCAAACCCCCAAGGGACAGCACAGAAGGCGUGUCUAGCCUUGGUCAUCCUGAGGGAGAAGCCUCUGUUCUGCUGGAAGGCAACCAGAACUGGGCGGGAUGACCAACAAAGGGCCAUGGAAGAGCUGGGACAAAAGCACCUUUGAGUUACUGACCCAUGUCCUGGAGGCUAUAGAGAGAUACAGAUAAUUUUAUGCAGGGAAGGGGUAUGGAUGGGUUCAUUGGAUGGUGGUGCAUGGGAGCUGCUCUGAAGACAGGGAAGACAGAAGGGGCAGCUAUGAGAUUCCAGGUCCAACUUCUGGAACGGCUGUGGGUGGGACCCAUGGGCCAUGGCACUGACAUGAUUGGGUCCUUCCCACUUGGCUUACUUCCAUAGUGCUGCCUUAAGAGAAAUACCACAACUGAGAGCCAGAAUUUAUUGUCUCACAAUUCUGGAGGCUAGAAUCAGAGCAUCAGCUCUAAGGGGGGACGGGGACCUAUCUUUGUUGAUAGCCCCAGCAGUUCCUUUGCAUUCCUUGGUGAUUGUCUUCACCCUGUGUGUGUCCCUGUGUCUAUCCUGCUCUUUUUAUAAGACACCAGUCAGAAAUGAUAAGGUGUAGGACCCACCUUACUCAGUAUGACCUCAUUACAUGACAAAGUAUACCCUGUUUCCAAACAGGGUCACAUAUACAGGUACGGG